GAGAGAUUGAAUCCCUUAAGAAAAUAUUUGAAAUGAAAGCAUCUGAAAAAGGGUAACCUUGGCUUGGCCUGAAGUGGAAGCAUUCAUGUGCUCACCUGCAGAGGAGUACAGUUGAACACAUGAGCAAGAUCCUACCUAGAAGGAAAGAAAUGCGACUGUGCUGGAACCUUACUCUCUGCUCUUAUCCUGUUCUUACAAAUAGGUGAAAUCACUGUAGUCUCUGGCAUUGGUUUUUAGCCCAAAUCUGCCACUUGAAUAUGUGGACAGGGAUGAACUCCAUCCACAAACACUGAGUAGAGAAUCCUUUGACAACAAGGAAAUUUCCAGCUAACAUAAACCUGAGAGGACCAGACGUUGCCUCAGCU
rnacentral:lncRNA from 1 species